rnacentral:rRNA from 1 species
CCUACGGGAGGCAGCAGUGGGGAAUAUUGGGCAAUGGGCGCUAGCCUGACCCAGCAACGCCGCGUGAAGGAAGAAUGCUCUCUGGUUUUUAACUUCCUUUUAUAUGGAAGUGCAGUAGACGGUACCUCUUGCAUAACCUAUGGCUAACUACGUGCCAGCAGCCGCGUUAAUACGCAGGUGGCCAGCGUUGUCCGGAUUUACUGGGUGUAAAGGGCGUGCAGCCGGGAAGACAAGUCAGAUGUGAAAUCUCGCGGCUCAACCGCGGAACUGCAGUUGAUACUGUUUUUCUUGAGUACAGUAGAGGUCAGCGGAAUUCGUGGUGUAGCGGUGAAAUGCGUAGAUAUCACGAAGAACACCGAUGGCGAAGGCAGAUGGCUGGACGGCAACUGACGGUGAGGCGCGAAAGCGUGGGGAGCAAACAGGAUUAGAUACCCGAGUAGUC